rnacentral:rRNA from 1 species
UACGUAGGGUGCGAGCGUUAAUCGGAAUUACUGGGCGUAAAGCGUGCGCAGGCGGUUUUGUAAGCCAGAUGUGAAAUCCCCGGGCUUAACCUGGGAAUGGCAUUUGGGACUGCAAGGCUCGAGUGCGGCAGAGGAGACUGGAAUUCCUGGUGUAGCAGUGAAAUGCGUAGAUAUCAGGAGGAACACCGAUGGCGAAGGCAGGUCUCUGGGCUGACACUGACGCUCAUGCAUGAAAGCGUGGGGAGCAAACAGG